rnacentral:rRNA from 1 species
CAAGUCGAACGAUAAGGUCUCUCGGAGAUACAUAAGUGGCGGACGGGUGAGUAAUAUGUAGAGAAUCUGCCCUAGAGAGGGGGACAACAGAGGGAAACUUCUGCUAAUACCCCAUAUGAGCGUAGUUGAAAUGCUAUUCUUGAAAACUCCGGUGCUCUGGGAUGAGUCUGCAUCUGAUUAGCUAGUUGGGGGUGUAAUGGACCACCAAGGCGACGAUCAGUAGCUGGUUUGAGAGGAUGAUCAGCCACAAUGGGACUGAGACACGGCCCAUACUCCUACGGGAGGCAGCAGUAGGGAAUUUUGCGCAAUGGGGGAAACCCUGAACCGCAGCAACGUCCGCGUGACCGAUGAAGCCCUUCGGGGUGUAAAGGUCUGUCAGUGGGGACGAAACUUGACGGUACCCACAGAGGAAGCAUCGGUCUAACUCCGUGCCAGCCGCCGC